rnacentral:rRNA from 1 species
GGAUGAACGCUGGCGGCGUGCCUAAUACAUGCAAGUCGAGCGAACAGAUGAGGAGCUUGCUCCUCUGACGUUAGCGGCGGACGGGUGAGUAACACGUGGAUAACCUACCUAUAAGACUGGGAUAACUUCGGGAAACCGGAGCUAAUACCGGAUAAUAUAUUGAACCGCAUGGUUCAAUAGUGAAAGACGGUUUUGCUGUCACUUAUAGAUGGAUCCGCGCCGCAUUAGCUAGUUGGUAAGGUAACGGCUUACCAAGGCAACGAUGCGUAGCCGACCUGAGAGGGUGAUCGGCCACACUGGAACUGAGACACGGUCCAGACUCCUACGGGAGGCAGCAGUAGGGAAUCUUCCGCAAUGGGCGAAAGCCUGACGGAGCAACGCCGCGUGAGUGAUGAAGGUCUUCGGAUCGUAAAACUCUGUUAUUAGGGAAGAACAAAUGUGUAAGUAACUAUGCACGUCUUGACGGUACCUAAUCAGAAAGCCACGGCUAACUACGU